rnacentral:tRNA from 1 species
GGGAAAUAGCUCAUCUGGUAGAGCAUCAGGUUCGCAAUCUGAGGGUGGAGGGUUCGAGUCCCUUUUUCUCC